UACGAAGGGGGCUAGCGUUGCUCGGAAUCACUGGGCGUAAAGGGUGCGUAGGCGGGUCCUUAAGUCAGGGGCGAAAUCCUGGAGCUCAACUCCAGAACUGCCUUUGAUACUGAGGAUCUUGAGUUCGGGAGAGGUGAGUGGAACUGCGAGUGUAGAGGUGAAAUUCGUAGAUAUUCGCAAGAACACCCGUGGCGAAGGCGGCCACCUGGGCCGACCCUGACGCUGAGGCGCGAAGGCGUGGGGAGCGAACGGG
rnacentral:rRNA from 1 species